rnacentral:misc_RNA from 1 species
AAAGACCCGGAUCUACCCAGCUACGAGGAAGCGAUUUGUCGGAUCAAUAACUUGGAAGUGAUAGUGACAGACGAUACAUAGUGGAUGUGUGUUGGAUACAUGUUCCUAGUGUGUAUAUGUGAUGUGUAAAUUGAUGUAAUUACUUUUGAAAAAAAAAAAAUGUAUUUUAGAGACGUUUGAAGUAAUUCUCUAGUCGAGAGAAAUAAUUUGAGUGAGUGUUAUUCGGAGUUCUUGUUCUUAUGUUUUUAAAACGAACGUAUUCUUUCCGUUCCAUUGAAAAUGGUGCACGUCGAUUAUGACGUCACCAAACCGGUGCUUAUGGUCAAUGCAAUAUCACAAACUGGGCCACGAACGUAUAAUAGACUCUAUGCUCAUUUCUACUGUUAUCAUUCAAAAAGGACUGGGCCCCAUAUUGGGACCCUGAGAGGCAAUUAAAUGCCACCUGACCAGGAACCUCCAUGGAUCAAACAACUGCAAUCUGGCCUCUUGUUGAGGAUUUUACCCCAAAUUUAAGAGGAUUUUGUCUCUGAAUUUUAACAUUGAGCUUCCUGUAUUUAACUCUUUUUACUCAAUUGUUUACGUUGUUUGUGCCUUAAGAUUGCACUAUAAAGAAUAUCAAACAGU